CCAGCAGCUGCGGUAAUUCCAGCUCCAAUAGCGUAUAUUAAAGUUGUUGCAGUUAAAAAGCUCGUAGUUGGAUUUCUGGUAGGAGCGACCGUGCCGAACUUGAUUGUUUGUGUAUUGUGUUGUCUUCAGCCAUCCUGGUGGUUAACUUUUCCGGCAUUAAUUUGUCGGGAUUGGGACCCGCGUCGUUUACUGUGAAAAAAUUAGAGUGUUUAAAGCAGGCAAUCGCUUGAAUACAUUAGCAUGGAAUAAUAAGAUAGGACUUUGGUACUAUUUUGUUGGUUUGCAUACCAAAUUAAUGAUCAACAGGAACAGUUUGAGGAUAUUCGUAUGAACAUGUCAGAGGUGAAAUUCUUGGAUUUUGAUCAGACGAACUACUGCGAAAGCAUUUAUCAAGGAUGUU
rnacentral:rRNA from 1 species